AAUAGAUACCCCGGUAGUCCACGCCGUAAACGAUGAGUGCUAAGUGUUAGAGGGUUUCCGCCCUUUAGUGCUGCAGCUAACGCAUUAAGCACUCCGCCUGGGGAGUACGGCCGCAAGGCUGAAACUCAAAGGAAUUGACGGGGGCCCGCACAAGCGGUGGAGCAUGUGGUUUAAUUCGAAGCAACGCGAAGAACCUUACCAGGUCUUGACAUCCUCUGCCAACCCUAGAGAUAGGGUGUUCCCCUUCGGGGGACAGAGUGACAGGUGGUGCAUGGUUGUCGUCAGCUCGUGUCGUGAGAUGUUGGGUUAAGUCCCGCAACGAGCGCAACCCUUGAUCUUAGUUGCCAGCAUUUAGUUGGGCAUUCUAAGGUGACUGCCGGUGACAAACCGGAGGAAGGUGGGGAUGACGUCAAAUCAUCAUGCCCCUUAUGACCUGGGCUACACACGUGCUACAAUGGAUGGUACAAAGAGCUGCGAACCCGCGAGGGUAAGCCAAUCUCAUAAAGCCAUUCUCAGUUCGGA
rnacentral:rRNA from 1 species